rnacentral:rRNA from 1 species
AACCCGACUCCAUNAAGCUGGAUUCGCUAGUAAUCGCGCAUCAGCCACGGCGCGGUGAAUACGUUCCCGGGCCUUGUACACACCGCCCGUCAAGCCAUGGAAGCCGGGAGUGCCUGAAGUGCGUGAGCGCAAGCAGCGCCCUAAGGUAAAACCGGUGACUGGGGCUAAGUCGUAACAAGGUAGC